UCCUAGCCCAGAUUGCAGCAAUUGUUUGAGCUCAUUUUUUUAGUUUAGGCUGCGGCGGCGAAGCCGCCGCAGCCUAAACUAAAAAAAUAGCGAGUGCGGAAAGCUGGAAAAAGC
rnacentral:misc_RNA from 1 species